rnacentral:rRNA from 1 species
CACGGGGGGAGCAAACGUUGUUCGGAAUCACUGGGCGUAAAGGGCGCGUAGGCGGCUUCGUAAGUGGUGUGUGAAAUGUCCUGGCUCAACCAGGGAAUUGCGCUCCAAACUGCGAGGCUCGAGGGCAGUAGAGGAAGCUGGAAUUCCAGGUGUAGCGGUGAAAUGCGUAGAUAUCUGGAGGAACACCGUUGGCGAAGGCGAGCUUCUGGGCUGUCCCUGACGCUGAAGUGCGAAAGCUGGGGGAGCAAAC